rnacentral:rRNA from 1 species
UACGUAGGGUGCGAGCGUUAAUCGGAAUUACUGGGCGUAAAGCGUGCGCAGGCGGUUUUUUAAGACAGGCGUGAAAUCCCCGGGCUUAACCUGGGAACUGCGCUUGUGACUGGAAGGCUAGAGUACGGCAGAGGGGGGUGGAAUUCCACGUGUAGCAGUGAAAUGCGUAGAGAUGUGGAGGAACACCGAUGGCGAAGGCAAUCCCCUGGACCUGUACUGACGCUCAUGCACGAAAGCGUGGGGAGCAAACAGG